rnacentral:rRNA from 1 species
AAGCCAUGCAUGUCUAAGUAUAAGCAUUCAUACAGCGCUGCUGCGGAUGGCUCAUUAUAUAAGUUAUCGUCUAUUUGAUAGUACCUUACUACUUGGAUAACCGUGGUAAUUCUAGAGCUAAUAGAUGCUAAAAAUCCCGACUUCGGAAGGGAUGUAUUUAUUAGAUUAAAAACCAAUGCCCUCUGGGCUCUCUGGUGAUUCAUGAUAACUUCUCGAAUCGCACGGUCUUGCGCCGGCGAUGGUUCAUUCAAAUUUCUUCCCUAUCAACUUUCGAUGUUUGGGUAGUGGCCAACAUGGUUGCAACGGGUAACGGAGGGUUAGGGCUCGACCCCGGAGAAGGAGCCUGAGAAACUGCUACUACCUCCGAGGAAGGCAGCAGGCGCGCAAAUUACCCAAUCCCGAUUCGGGGAGGUAGUGACAAUAAAUACUGAUACAGGGCUCUUUCGGGUCUUGUAAUUGGAAUGAGUACAAUUUAAAUCCCUUAACGAGGAACAAUUGGAGGGCAAGUCUGGUGCCAGCAGCCGCGGUAAUUCCAGCUCCAAUAGCGUAUAUUAAAGUUGUUGUGGAUAAAAAGCUCGUAGUUGAACCUUGGGCCUGGGUGGCCGGUCCUCCUCACCGCGUGUACUGGUCCGGCCGGGUCUUUCCCUCUGUAGAACCCCAUGCCCUUCACUGGGUGUGGCGGGGAAACAGGACUUUUACUUUGAAAAAAUUAGAGUGCUCCAGGCAGGCUAUGCUCGAAUACAUUAGCGUGGAAUAAUAAAAUAGGACGUGG